rnacentral:rRNA from 1 species
GAACGCGAAGAACCUUACCUGGGUUUGACAUGCACAGGACGCUGGUAGAGAUAUCAGUUCCCUUGUGGCCUGUGUGCAGGUGGUGCAUGGCUGUCGUCAGCUCGUGUCGUGAGAUGUUGGGUUAAGUCCCGCAACGAGCGCAACCCUUGUCUAUGUUGCCAGCGGGUUAUGCCGGGGACUCGUAGGAGACUGCCGGGGUCAACUUCGGAGGAAGGUGGGGAUGACGNUCAAGUCAUCAUGCCCCUUAUGUCCACGGGCUUCACACAUGCUACAAUGGCCGGUACAAAGGGCUGCGAUGCCGUGAGGUGGAGCGAAUCCUUGUAAAGCCGGUCUCAGUUCGGAUCGGGGUCUGCAACUCGACCCCGUGAAGUCGGAGUCGCUAGUAAUCGCAGAUCAGCAACGCUGCGGUGAAUACGUUCCCGGGUCUUGUACACACC